UCUUUUCUCAGCUCCGCCCCAAGGAAAUUCUCUACCCAUCCCUUUAUUGAAUCCUUGUAGCCCGUGAAAAGAGACAAUCCACCACGGGGGGGAAAAUAGUAAAAUUUUUGAGUCGCCCUAACAAGGCGGAAGAAAGUGACAAAUAGACACGCUGUGGGUGUAAAACCCCAACUCAGGCAAAUGGAUUCAAAACAAGCCAUGAACAAAAUGGAGUUCGGGGACAACAUCCGGGGGGUUAUCCCAAAAU
rnacentral:lncRNA from 1 species